rnacentral:rRNA from 1 species
UCAACGGAAGAUGUGUGCAUUAAGAGUAAACAUUUAUCUGAUUUUUCUUUAGGUUGGUUGUCCCUGUUUAAGCUUGUAGGGAGAUCUCUUAGGUAAAUCCGGGAGAUCACUAUCCUGAGAAGCGAUAACGAGCUCAAUUGCGAGCGAAGUCAUUGAUGCCAUGCUUCCAAGAAAAGCCUCUAAGCUUCAGGUAUAUAGAGACCGUACUCUAAACCGACACAGGUGAUCAGGUAGAGAAUACCAAGGCGCUUGAGAGAACUAUGGUGAAGGAACUAGGCAAAAUGGUGCCGUAACUUCGGGAGAAGGCACGCCGAUUUUGGUGAUGGGAUUUACUCCCUAAGCUGAGGUUGGCCGCAGAGACCAGGCCCCUGCGACUGUUUAUCUAAAACACAGCACUCUGCAAACUCGUAAGAGGAAGUAUAGGGUGUGACGCCUGCCCGGUGCCGGAAGGUUAAUUGAUGGGGUUAGCUUCGGCGAAGCUCUUGAUCGAAGCCCCGGUAAACGGCGGCCGUAACUAUAACGGUCCUAAGGUAGCGAAAUUCCUUGUCGGGUAAGUUCCGACCUGCACGAAUGGCGUAACGAUGGCCACACUGUCUCCACCCGAGACUCAGUGAAAUUGAAAUCGCGGUCAAGAUGCCGUGUACCCGCGGCUAGACGGAAAGACCCCGUGAACCUUUACUAUAGCUUGGCACUGAACUUUGAACCUAUCUGUGUAGGAUAGGUGGGAGGCUUUGAAGCGUGAUCGCUAGAUUGCGUGGAGCCAUCCUUGAAAUACCACCCUGGUAAUGUUGAGGUUCUAACUUGGCUCCUGAAACGGGAGUGAGGACAGUGUGUGGUGGGUAGUUUGACUGGGGCGGUCUCCUCCUAAAGAGUAACGGAGGAGCACGAAGGUACCCUAAGAGCGGUCGGAAAUCGCUCGUUUAGUGUAAUGGCAUAAGGGUGCUUGACUGCGAGAGUGACAACUCGAGCAGGUGCGAAAGCAGGUCAUAGUGAUCCGGUGGUUCUGAAUGGAAGGGCCAUCGCUCAACGGAUAAAA